UCCUAUGAAUGAGCAAAGAAAAUGGUUUGUUGAGAUGGAAUCUAUGCCCGUUGAAGAUGCUGUGAA
rnacentral:pre_miRNA from 1 species